rnacentral:piRNA from 1 species
UUUUUUGUAAGAAGUUUGAAC